UACGUAGGGUGCGAGCGUUGUCCGGAAUUAUUGGGCGUAAAGAGCUCGUAGGCGGUCUGUCGCGUCGAUCGUGAAAACUUGGGGCUUAACCCUGAGCUUGCGGUCGAUACGGGCAUGACUGGAGUUCGGCAGGGGAGACUGGAAUUCCUGGUGUAGCGGUGAAAUGCGCAGAUAUCAGGAGGAACACCGGUGGCGAAGGCAGCUCGCUGGAACGGUACUGACGCUGAGGCGCGAAAGCGUGGGGAGCAAACAGG
rnacentral:rRNA from 1 species